rnacentral:rRNA from 1 species
CGGCAACAGCUCAAAUUUAAAAUCUGGCUUCUUCGGGGCCCGAGUUGUAAUUUGUAGAGGAUGCUUCGGCUUGGUCUCCGGUCUAAGUUCCUUGGAACAGGACGUCACAGAGGGUGAGAAUCCCGUAUGUGCCCGGUUGGCCUUGCCAUGUGAAGCUCCUUCGAC